GGAAAAGGAAUCCGUGUACACGCCUUAUUAGUAACAAAGACUAAAUCGAGGCUUCCGAUCGGAAGGUGGUCAAGUGUCCUUAUUAUGUAAUCCAGGCGAGUAUUUUCGUGAGAGGUGUUCAGAUAGGUCCGAGGUCAGUAGAAGAUGGUGAAAAAAGGAGCCUCAAAUGCCACACUGCUACAAUUCCCACAUAAAGAACGAUAUUUAGGCACUGAAAACUCCAGCAAUUUUUGAGGAAGAGCAUUUGCCAAUAAAAAAGUGGCGGUUCAUUCCAGCUGUCCAAAGUUCUGAACGCAUAAAUCAGUCUUAAACACUACGACUGGACAGUGACUCCUAACUACCGCUUACUGGAUGCGUCUUCCAUCAAAGACAUCAGAUUUGAGUGGCUAGCGCCUGCAUCCAUGUCAAGAUUGUCUCGCUUGUCGAAGUUUGUCUUCUAGUUAAUUUACAGGGUUGCCGUUUGUUAUGAAAUGUAACGAUUGCUUUGGGUAAUAAUAUUUUGUACCAUACGUGAAUCGAACAUAGAAUCGAACAUAGCGAGCGUUUUAUUCAUGGACUAAGUCCAAGCGCCAAACCAGAAUAUUGCUGAUUUAGGGGGUUGUCAGGUGGGACCUAACCCCCCCUCUUCGAUUUCUAAAAAAAAUCACACCAAUGGUCCCCUCUUGAAAUUAGAAUUUUGACUAGUUGAAUCAUAGGUCUAAACUGUACCGAAUGGCACCGUUUGCCCUCUAAAAUAUCAAAAAAUUUUGUGGCCCUUUAGCGUGCC